rnacentral:tRNA from 1 species
GGUAAAGUGGCUGAAUUUUAGGCAAUAAAUUGUAAAUUUAUUUAUGGUGUAAUUACCCUUUACCA